UCUGCCUUGGAGUGGGGAAUAACGGCUGGAAACAGCCGCUAAUACCGCAUGAUGCAUCUGAGUCGCAUGGUUUGGAUGCCAAAGAUUUAUCGCUCUGAGAUGAGCUCGCGUCUGAUUAGCUAGUUGGCGGGGUAACGGCCCACCAAGGCGACGAUUGGUAGCCGGACUGAGAGGUUGAACGGCCACAUUGGGACUGAGACACGGCCCAGACUCCUACGGAAGGCAGCAG
rnacentral:rRNA from 1 species